AGAGUUUGAUCCUGGCUCAGGAUGAACGCUAGCGGCAGGCUUAAUACAUGCAAGUCGAGGGGCAGCAGGGUAGCAAUAUCGCUGGCGACCGGCGCACGGGUGCGUAACACGUAUACAAUCUGCCUUUUACAGGGGGAUAGCCUUUCGAAAGAGAGAUUAAUACCCCAUAAUACAAGAAUCGGCAUCGAUUUUUGUUGAAAGUUCCGACGGUAAGAGAUGAGUAUGCGUCUGAUUAGCUAGAUGGUGAGGUAACGGCUCACCAUGGCCACGAUCAGUAGGGGAUCUGAGAGGACUACCCCCCACACGGAUACUGAGACACGGAUCCGACUCCUACGGGAGGCAGCAGUAAGGAAUAUUGGACAAUGCCCGCAAGGGUGAUCCAGCCAUGCCGCGUGCAGGAAGACGGCCCUAUGGGUUGUAAACUGCUUUUAUACCGGAGAAAACCUCCCCUCGUGAGGGGAGCUGAUAGUAUGGUAAGAAUAAGCAUCGGCUAACUUCGUGCCAGCAGCCGCGGUAAGACGAAGGAUGCAAGCGUUAUCCGGAUUCAUUGGGUUUAAAGGGAGCGUAGGCGGCCUUAUAAGUCAGUGGUGAAAUCUUUGGGCUUAACCCAAAAAUUGCCAUUGAUACUAUUUGUCUUGAAUUCUCUGGAGGUAAGCGGAAUAUGUCAUGUAGCGGUGAAAUGCUUAGAUAUGACAUAGAACACCCAUUGCGAAGGCAGCUUACUACGGAGACAUUGACACUGAGGCACGAAAGCGUGGGGAUCAAACAGGAUUAGAUACCCUGGUAGUCC
rnacentral:rRNA from 1 species